rnacentral:rRNA from 1 species
GGCCUAUCAGCUUGUUGGUGGGGUAACGGCCUACCAAGGCGACGACGGGUAGCCGGCCUGAGAGGGCGACCGGCCACACUGGGACUGAGACACGGCCCAGACUCCUACGGGAGGCAGCAGUGGGGAAUAUUGCGCAAUGGGCGAAAGCCUGACGCAGCGACGCCGCGUGGGGGAUGAAGGCCUUCGGGUUGUAAACCCCUUUCAGCAGGGACGAAGCGAAAGUGACGGUACCUGCAGAAGAAGCGCCGGCUAACUACGUGCCAGCAGCCGCGGUAACACGUAGGGCGCAAGCGUUGUCCGGAAUUAUUGGGCGUAAAGAGCUCGUAGGCGGUCUGUUGCGUCCGCUGUGAAAUCUCGGGGCUUAACCCCGAGCCUGCAGUGGAUACGGGCAGACUAGAGGUAGGUAGGGGAGAAUGGAAUUCCUGGUGUAGCGGUGAAAUGCGCAGAUAUCAGGAGGAACACCGGUGGCGAAGGCGGUUCUCUGGGCCUUACCUGACGCUGAGGAGCGAAAGCGUGGGGAGCA